UAAUAAUAAUUGCUAGAAUUGAAGUUUCAGCGGCUAGAAUUGUAUUUCACUUAUUUAAAAAAAAUCAGUUGAGUAGCCUUGAUCUUGAUAGUAUGAUGUAAUGACUUGCAGGAGCGUAUACAUGCUUCCUCUGAGCUAGCUUAAAGUGGGGUUGUCAUUUUAGCAGGGGCCUCAGGAAAAGUGUAAUAGUGAAAAAACGGUGUGUGGUUACAGACUUUUGUGUGAGGUUUUGAAAGUUAGGUAGGCGACUCUAGGCCGAGAAGCUCAGAAAACUGUUUACUGCCUCCUUAAGAGCAAAUCUUGAAAAUUUGUGUGUGGUUACAGACUUUUGUGUGAGGUUUUGAAAGUUAGGUAGGCGACUCUAGGCCGAGAAGCUCAGAAAACUGUUUACUGCCUCCUUAUUCAAAUCUUUAAAGUAUCGGCCACGUAGAGUUACGUAUUAAUUGAGCCGGUGUAAAAAUAUAUGUUAUAUUUAUUUAUAUUUACACUUACACAUUUAAUAUUUAAAUGUAUUGCCCUGUAGACGUUGAAAAUGUUCUAUUUAACCUUACAGUAUAUGUAAACUAUGUCGUCACUUAGAAAACAGGUUUAUAUUUAAUAAAUAUUUGGCAAUGUAUCGAUUAUGAUAGUUGACAGAUGUCACUGUCUCAAAACUACCUGACAACGUAAAUCUGCAUACAUCUCAAUUUGUGUGCUUAACAGCUUUAAUAAAUUGUUCAAACCGACUUUAAACACAAGUUCAAAAGAAAGGUCGAAAAUGUAUAAAUUCAACUGCGAUUUUGGUUUAAAGAAAAUAUGUAAGCAAACAGCAAUAUGAGACAUGAAUUGCAAACUUUAAGAAAUAGAUUCGUAUUCAAGAAAACAUUGUAAAAUUAUGUCUGGAUAUAUAUUUAUUAUUCGCUUUCUUGAAAUAAUUACAACCAAUUUCCUGCUGCUUAAUUUGCGAGAAACCUCAUAAAUAUUACGGCGUACAUGUACUCGUACAGCCCACGCACAACCAUAAUUACUUCUAAUGGGAAGGGACAAAACUAUGGAAUCACUAUGAUUAAUGUUUAACAUACAGCGCACUUCUAGAAUACCUAUAGUUAAUGACUCAAUGUAAAUUAACAUGAACUAGCUCAAAAAAGUCUACAUGAAGGCGCCACAGGCUUUAUUACUGUAUGAUAUCACACUGUCAUAUAUUUAACUUAAUUAAAAACGACUUAAUGCACAGAUUAACAUGUAGUGUACAAAUAACUUUUUUCAUUGUUGGGUUUAUUGUCGCACCGACACAAUUAUAGGUCAUAUGGCGAUUUUUCAGCGUUGAUUGUGUAGGAAGACCCCAGGUGCCUUUCCGUGCAUUAUUUCAUCACGAGCGGGCACAUUGGUAGAACCACCGCUCUACCGUAAGCCAGCUGGAUGGCUUCCUCACAUGAAGAAUUCAACGCCCCGAGUGAGGCUGGAACCCACAUCGAUGAGGGACAAGUGAUUUUAAGUCAGCGACCUUAACCACUCGGCCACGGAGGCCCCGUACAAAUAAAAUUAUAUCAAGAAAUUAAAAAACGAAUAAAUAUGAACAUGAGAGAAAACGUUAUUGUUCAAUUUUCAUUCAUUUGAUGAAUUAAUGCAAUAUCUCAUUAUAUACUGAAACCUGUUUGUUUUGUCUGGAUGGGCAAGUGAAGGAAAUAAGUAAGAGGGUGAUCUUCAUGUCUGAAAUGUUGUUUACAGCGUUAAUGAAGGGUUG